rnacentral:rRNA from 1 species
CAGCAGCCGCGGUAAUACAGAGGUCCCAAGCGUUGUUCGGAUUCACUGGGCGUAAAGGGUGCGUAGGUGGUGGGGUAAGUCUCGUGUGAAAGCUCGCGGCUCAACCGCGAAAAGUCACGGGAUACUAUUCUGCUGGAGGGUUGGAGGGGGGACUGGAAUUCUCGGUGUAGCAGUGAAAUGCGUAGAUAUCGAGAGGAACACCAGUGGCGAAGGCGAGUCCCUGGACAACACCUGACACUGAGGCACGAAAGCUAGGGGAGCAAACAGGAUUAGAUACCCUGGUAGUCCUAGCCGUAAACGGUGCUUGCUUGCUGUAAAAGGAAUCGACCCCUUUUGUGGCGCAGCUAACGCGAUAAGCAAGCCGCCUGGGAAGUACGGUCGCAAGAUUAAAACUCAAAGGAAUUGACGG